UACGAAGGGGGCUAGCGUUGCUCGGAAUCACUGGGCGUAAAGCGCACGUAAGCGGAUUGCUAAGUCAGGGGUGAAAUCCUGGAGCUCAACUCCAGAACUGCCUUUGAUACUGCGAGUCUUGAGUCCGAUAGAGGUGGGUGGAAUUCCUAGUGUAGAGGUGAAAUUCGUAGAUAUUAGGAAGAACACCGGUGGCGAAGGCGGCCCACUGGAUCGGUACUGACGCUGAGGUGCGAAAGCGUGGGGAGCAAACAGG
rnacentral:rRNA from 1 species